CAGCCGCCGCGGGAAAACGUAGGUGGCAAGCGUUGUCCGGAAUUAUUGGGCGUAAAGGGCUCGCAGGCGGUUUCUUAAGUCUGAUGUGAAAGCCCCCGGCUCAACCGGGGAGGGUCAUUGGAAACUGGGAAACUUGGGUGCAGAAGAGGAGAGUGGAAUUCCACGUGUAGCGGUGAAAUGCGUAGAGAUGUGGAAGAACACCAGUGGCGAAGGCGACUCUCUGGUCUGUAACUGACGCUGAGGAGCGAAAGCGUGGGGAGCGAACAGGAUUAGAUACCCCAGUAGUCCUUGUCUCUUAUAC
rnacentral:rRNA from 1 species